GUCAGGGUUCUAGGUCAUGGUUCUAGGUCAGGGUUCUAGGUUAGGGUUCUCUGAAUACCCCAGAGAAAGGCCUGGAAUGUGGUACAGCAGUCUGUGUCCAGGCAUUUACUGCAAACUUUUAAAAUUAACUCUCCCCACAGGAAUUUCAUUAGGUUAGAAAUAAUUAUUGACAAAAAAAGCACCCUCAAGAUCAAGAUCCAGGAUGAUGGAGCUGAUUUCAGUGCCCAGGAGAGUGUGCAGGAUUUCCAAGAGAUGCUCACAUCCUUUCACUGACCCAGCAAAGCACCCAUGGAAAAGGUCCAGGGCUGCUUUCAGCUCAAAGUGCAUGAAGGGGGAGAGAGCAGGAAUUGAUUUAAACAGAAUAGAAGGGAAAUAAACAACCAAGGAGGAGCUAUCGGUGCUGAGAUGAGGAAAAGGCACUUGAACUGUGUGGGGAGGGAGGAGAUUUGGCACAGACACAAAAUUUGGGCUCCACCACUGCCAGGCCAGAAUCCAACCUCUUUUAUCUGCACUGCAAGAAUAAACAUCUGGAUUUUCCCUGCCUUACUCCAAA